ACAUAACACUCUUCUAUGAAUUCUAUACAUGCAUAUUAUUUUUAUACCUUAUUCUUGUUUUAGGUUUCUCUUUCCUUUUAUUUGCAUAUGUUACUAAUCUCCUUACCUUCUCAUUUCUCUAUUCACAUUUAUUAUAAAUUUCAUUUUCUUACUUAUGACAGAUUCCUACGUAAGUCUUAUCUAUCAACAUUUUUCCUACUUUCAUAUUGAUUCAUCU
rnacentral:lncRNA from 1 species